rnacentral:tRNA from 1 species
GAGGGUAUAGCUCAAGUGGUAAAGCCCAUGCUUAGCAUGCAUGAGGUCCUGGGUUCAAUCCCCAGUACCUCCU